AGAGUUUGAUCCUGCAGAACGAACGCUGGCGGCGUACUUAACACAUGCAAGUCGAACGAGAAAAGAGACUUCGGUCUCUGAGUACAGUGGCGCACGGGUGCGUAACACGUUAGUAAUCGACCCCGAACACUGGGAUAACCCUCUGAAAGGAGGGCUAAGACUGGAUAGGGUCCCCGAGGCAGAAGUUGCGGGGGGAAAGCCGGCCUCUGAGGCAUGCUGGCGGUUCGGGACGAGCUUGCGGCCCAUUAGCUAGUUGGUCGGGUAAUGGCCUACCAAGGCGACGAUGGGUAGCUGGUCUGAGAGGAUGAUCAGCCACACUGGCACUGAGACACGGGCCAGACUCCUACGGGAGGCAGCAGUGGGGAAUUUUGCGCAAUGGGCGAAAGCCUGACGCAGUAACGCCGCGUGGAGGAUGAAGGCCUUCGGGUUGUAAACUCCUGUCAGGGGGAACGACGGGGCCAGGGCGAUAAGGCUUGGCCACCAGACGGUACCUCCAAAGGAAGCCCCGGCUAAUUCCGUGCCAGCAGCCGCGGUAAUACGGAAGGGGCAAGCGUUGUUCGGAAUCAUUGGGCGUAAAGGGCGCGUAGGUGGUUCUGUAUGUCUAUCGUGAAAGGGUACAGCUCAACUGUAGCGAGUCGGUAGAAACUGCAGGACUUGAGGCUGGGAGGGGCUGGUGGAAUUCCCUGUGUAGCGGUGAAAUGCGUAGAGAUGGGGGAGAACACUCGUGGCGAAGGCGGCCAGCUAGACCAGUUCUGACACUGAGGCGCGAUAGCGUGGGGAGCAAACAGGAUUAGAUACCCUAGUAGUCC
rnacentral:rRNA from 1 species